AGGAUGAACGCUGGCGGCGUGCCUAACACAUGCAAGUCGAACGUCCUGUCUCGCAAGAGGCAGGGAGUGGCGGACGGGUGAGUACCACGUGGGUCAUCUACCGUGAGGUGAGGAAUACCGGCGAGAAAUCGCCGACAAGACCGCAUAGGCUCGAUGCAAGUCGAGCAAAGCUCUUUCGAGAGAGGGAGCGCCACACGAGGAGCCUGCGCCCGAUUAGCUAGCUGGUGGAGUAACGGUUCACCAGGGCGACGAUCGGUAGCUGGUCUGAGAGGACGAUCAGCCACACUGGGAUUGAGAACGGCCCAGACUCCUACGGGGGGCAGCAGUGAGGAAUUUCGUCAAUGGGGGCAACCCUGAACGAGCAACGCCGCGUGCAGGAAGAAGGUUUUCGGAUCGUAAACUGCUUUUCGUCGGGGACGAGCAAGGACGGUACCCGAGGAAGAACGCCCGGCUAACUACGUGCCAGCAGCCGCGGU
rnacentral:rRNA from 1 species